CCUUCCUUGGCUACAAACUGGUCACCAAGGAAGGCCUAGCCCAAACUACCACAACAUCCAAACUGGAUUUUUGUGUAAGAGUUCCUCGAAAGAACAUCAGGUAACAGACACGAAUAGAAAUGGUAAUAACCAACAGCCAUAGUUUCUGGAGCAUGUUCCUAAGAAGAUAUAUUUUAAAUAUAUCCCUGAGAAAAGGUGACCCUGAUUUUUAGCUGUAAUGACCCCAAAACCUCCUGCAAGAUCAUCAGCACCCAAGUGGACCUAUAUCAGAGGUUUCAACAUAUCCCACAGCAGUCCAAUGGCUCCAAGCAGAACUGAUAUGCAGUAAAACCAGCACAAUCUCUAUCCUGUGUACAAAGAACAUCCUUCAAAAUGAGUGCAACUGACUUGGCAGAAAGAAAGCCAGACUGCAGCCUGGCAUGGCCAGCCUUCCUGAACCUAUCAGCGGCAUACCAAGAUAUGUGUCAGCAGCAGCAGCAGAGCAUCUAUGUUUCAACCUCCCACUUGUACUGAGCUGUUUCUCUCCCCCUGUGCUCACUCCCCUUGGAGUGCAGGGGCAGGAUGCUCCUCAGUGCCCAGCAAAGAUGCAGCAUAUGUAUGUGAUAUCUUGGUUGCAGUAUUCUUCAUCACUAAGAAGAUUUUUUGGUGCCAAAAGUUUAAGAAGAUUGUGGGACUGACUGAAAUCAGAACUGAAGACGUUUGAUCAGAAAAAAUGGUGAAGAUUUCAGAGCUUACAAAACAAAUGCAGUGAUUUUCUUGGCCCUGUUCUCUAAACCUUUUUUCCCCCAGGAAAACCUUUGCAGCCUCAACCCACUCCAUAAACAGGAGAUGGCUGCGCAUAUAAAAAAAUCCUAACAUGUGAGAACUUGGCAGAAUGUAGUCUCCACUGGGAUGCUGAAAACUGUACAGCUUUGCAAUGCAGAGCUGCACCAAAUUGGAGAAGAGCACUCGAGGCAUUUUUAUUUGUGUACAACUAGCAGAAACUUUUAUUUUUAUUUAGUUUUGUAUCUAGGCCAAGCACAAGAGAAGCAAGCAUAUCUUAGUGCUGUAUUAGUGUGAUCAUUGUGCUAGAAAUUACCAUAUUCUGUGAUUCUGUAAUUUUUCUUUUACAAUACUACUUCUGUAACUUGGCUGCCAAAAAAGGUAAAAUUUUGCCAAAUCUUUUGCUCAAAAUUGUGUAAAAUCUAUGUUGCACAUUCAUACCAGCUUAGAUUAACACCACUGUGUACAGUGGGGACUCAAUGGUUUUUGUAUGUGAUGCUAUAUAUAUUAAACUUUUUUGAUAAAUCAGUUGUUGUCUUCUACAUUUAAUAAAGACAUGCAAAUACUGCA